GGAAGGCAUCCGUGCCCGGCGGCACGGCCGGGCUUCAAACCCGGUUGGGGGCGUCAGACGUUCCCAGGUAGGUUCGACUCCUGCUGCCUUCCGCC
rnacentral:tRNA from 1 species